CUUUAUCGGAGAGUUUGAUCCUGGCUCAGGACGAACGCUGGCGGCGUGCCUAAUACAUGCAAGUCGAG
rnacentral:rRNA from 1 species